rnacentral:snRNA from 1 species
AUACUUACCUGGCUCAGAGGCAACCAUGAUCACCAAGGUGGUUCCUCCAGGGUGAGGCCUUUCCAUUGCACUAAGGAUGGGCUGACCCUUGCGAUUAAUCCAAAUGUGAUUAACUCGGGGUACAAUACAAUUUUGGUAGUGGGGGACUGCGUUCGCGCCGUCCCCUG